CCAGGCACCGAUCAGAGCCUCAUGGCGCUCCUACCAGCUGCCGAUGGUCCAGCAGACCUACUCGGCCCCCAUCAAGAGCCAGCAGCUCGAGAGCCAAGUCUACUCGCAGGCACCAAUCAAGGAGGCCCAGGCCACCUACUAGGCUCCAGUCGAGAGGCACGACAUCGCGUGACCAGAGAGAAAACACUCUGGUCUGGAAAUCCAUGACAGCAUUCGAUUAAGAUUAUACAUGACAACAGACUUUUGAUAAAUAAAAUCAAGACGCCAGUCUGACCUGCAUAAAAACU
rnacentral:lncRNA from 1 species